rnacentral:lncRNA from 1 species
GUACUGAAAAUGGUCAGGAACAAACUUUUUCCCAACAACAUAACUUUUGAAGAUAAUACCUUUGCUUGUCGACAAUGGAUGACAAAGUUUUGACAACUGAAGCAUUGAAUGAAGCUGAAAUAAUCAAAUCAUUAAUGAACAGAGAAAAUGAAGGUGGUCAAAAAAGCGAAAAUUCAGAAUCUGAUGAAGAAGAAAAAAAAUUACCAUCUUUGUCAGAAGCCUUUGUUGCUCAAGACACUGUCUGUCGUUUUUUGCUUGGCAUUGAGAAUUCAUUUAAUUACCCAAACAGCAUUGAUAAUAUCCAAGACUUUCUCAGAAAAUAUCAAGAAAGAAACAAA